GCGAUGUUUAAUGGUAACUCGUAGAAACCAAGCCCAUGCACAAGUAGAAAGUGCUCGUGGAGCCGGCCGGGGGCCCCCGCCGCGCCGCCCUCCCGGCGGCGCCGUAAAUAGACUCUUCACUCUGCUCUGUAUGUUACACGCUGGAUCACUGCAGCCGCCACCUCCUGCUGCUCCUUCAGCCUCCGGCCCUGCGAGAACCAAGCCUCAGACUUCCAGCCUGGAGCCCACCGCGUCCCCUGACCUGGGGCUGCUGUGAUUCAUCUCGCGGGACCCCCGGCCUCUGACCUUGUACUUCCGGAAGGCCGUCUGGAUGACUCGAGCCGCCUCGUACAGCUCCCGCUGCUCGUGAUCCGACAGCGUUAGCAGGGCAAAGUCGCUCUCCAUCUUGCCGCUGGCAGAAGCGGACAGAAACUCUGCCCAGGAAGGGGCGGGAGGGACGGCCAGGCGACCACGCUCGAAGGGCAGUUCGCUGCAGGGACAGGGAGAGGGGGUGUCCUGGGGCCCACCGUGAAGCGUGUCCAGCCACAGAGCCCGGAGGGGGACUUGAGAGCCCCUCAGCCGGUACCAGUCUCUUCCUCGGGGGCUGGGGCCCCGGGCCAGAACGGAGCACUGGCUCCAGGGAAGGACCUCCCCGCUCCCUGCUUGCCCUGACGAAUCUGGACAUGCUGUCCUGAGCUGGUCACCUGGGCGGGGCUGAGCUGGGGAAAUGGUCCACGUUCUCCAGGUAGCUGGCCAGCCAGGACAUGGUCUCGCUGAGCCCCAGGGCCCCUGUCCGCUCCCUCAUUGGUGCUCCAGCCUCGGGCAGCCCCGUGAAGUCCUCUCGUUUAAUCCGCUCCGGUGUGGCUUCAAUGAUCUGCUUGGCCAGUGAGAUCAUGUCCACCUGCACAGAGGAGACGCUCGGUGAGUCGGGAGCAGUCCCAGCCGCCAGACAUUCCUGCCCCGCCAAGGCCGUCACCAUCGUCCACUUGCUGUCUUGUCAUUCCCCUCACCACCAGACAGGCCUCGGGGAUGGCUGUCCCUGCUCCCCAGUCCUUCUCGGCCACUAUUUACAUAUGGCUGCCAGGCUCCCACUUGAGUUUAUGGCCCUGUGUUGAGACGGCGUGGAAAACGGGACGGGAUGGACCUCCUCCGAACAGCGUUGCAGGAGUGGAACAAAUGAAGGACCUGUCCUUCCAGGCCAACUGCCCGCUGGGCCCCGGCCUCAUGCCAGCUGACCAACGUGUGCUCCCCACGGGCUCGGCCGUGCCUGCAGCCCCCAGCCCCCUGAGCUCGGUGCCUGCCACCUACCGGACACCCUGCCAGAUGGCUCUAGCUGUGAAGCCGGCGCGUUGCCGACGUUAAGCGUUUUGUGCUUCUAGUACUAGAUACCCAGUUAGUCCGUUGGCCUCUCCAAGAUGGGUACCUCCCCAGGUCUUAGCAGAGAAGUGCGCUGCUAGGUUCGAAGAUUCUUUCCUCUGUUCACUCCCGUCUCAAGACUUGCUUCACUUUUGUCCCGUGCAAGCCUCGUCCCCACCCCAGAUCUCUGCCAGACGCGCCAGCUUGUCAGCCUCUGCUCCACACGGCACCCGCUUCCCUCCGUCAGGCUGCUUCCCCCAAAACCUCAUCUCUGCACGGACCAGCAGCUCUUCCAGGCAGCGGGCGAGGCGCACGUGGCCCCGGGACUGUGCCACGGACAGGGGCAGCCGGCCCAGUGAGUCGGGAAUGCUCAGCGCCUGUCUGUUCCAGCGGAAGAGGAGCACGGCGGCUUCCAGGUGUCCCAGGGCACAGGCCCACAUCUGAGGGUGGAGAGCGUGGACAUGAGGCCCGGGGCCCUUCCUCCCCAGGCCGGGUCUUCAGUUCCCAGCUCCACCGGCUCCUUCCCUGCGUCCCUCGACACUUUCCCACGGCCACGCGCCUGGCCCGCGCCGCCCCACGCACGCUCACCAGAGGGGUGCAAGAGAAGUGGUCCACGUUGAGCGGGUCAGCCUCUUGCUCUAAGUCCAGGCUCCCUGUCCCCACGCUCCUGGAGGGUUUGGGACAGGGACACGAGCCCAGUCGGUAAAAGCGGGCAAAGGAACGGGGGAGGAGGGCAGGCUGUCCAGAAGCACCGAGGUCGGUGCAGCAAGAUGGUCAGAGAUGCAUAAUGUGAGGGGCUGAGAGUCUGUCACGAGUGCAGAUCCUUCCCUCUUGGUGGGGCUCCGGGUCCUCUGGUCCCUCCUCCGUCCCCUGGUACUUCUGCCCCAGUCCCCCUGCCCGCUGCCCUGCUCACCGCCACUGGCUCAGGGUCUCGAUGAGGCGGGCGUAGCCCUGGGCGGCAGCCAGGUGCAGGAGGCUCAUGCCCCGGAAGGGGCUUCCGUGGGCCAGACGUUCAGGACCCCUCCAGGUGGAGCGAGGGAUCAUGCUCUCUACCAAAACCACCACACGGGCCUCGAACCCAGGUCCCUGGCCUUCGUCCUGCAGUACAGAUACCCUUGUGCAGGGACCCGAGCGUCUGGUCCCCUGGCUCAGGAUGGCCCUGGCCACCCCACCCCUGUCCUCUCCGCUUCCUGUCCUGCCCUCCCCACACCUCCCGCACCAGCUUUCCUGCCACCCAGAGCUCUCUGGGCCAUCCGUGUCCCUGGUUUGGGGUCCUGGGUGUCCCCCACCCCCAGUUAGCUUCCUCCCCCGCAGACGGCUUCUCCCUCUCGGAGCCCAGAGUCCUCUCCCCGUCUGCUUCCUCGGAGACUUGGGCCCCUGCUCUCCUGGCCCCCUCCCCCCACCCUCUUCAGAUCAGAAAUAGUCUGAAGCCCAUCGUGCCAAGAGGGUGCCCAGAAUAGCCACUCCCGCCCCGCGGUGGAGCCGGAGUGGGGUGACGUCAGGGAGGAGGAAGCCGGGGACGGGAGAGCCACACACGAGAGCCAUCUCCUCCGGGAAGACCCUCCCGAGCUCCCUCCUCACACAGGUACCUGAAUCGGAGGCACGGCAGGACUGCGGCAGGGAGCCUGCCCGGCUGCUGCCAGGUCGGCCAUCCGUUUCUCCAUCUGCUCCAGCCGCUCCAGGAUGGACAUCCGGAACUGGUUGUCUGAGGGGCAAGAGGUACGGGAGGAGGCUGAGCGGUGGGUAGGGUCCGGGUGAUGCCCCGAACACAGCUGGGCCUGUCCCAGGCUCUGGGGGUGAAGAGGCAGACUCACGUUCUUUCCUCUCCCCCAGAACAACGGCCCCUCUGCCCCACCCUCCCCGCCCCAAAUACGGUCCAUCAGGACGCAGGCCUUAAACUGGGGCUUUCAACACUACCCACUGACCGGGGACCAGAACUGUGUCCUUUGAGACACAGACAUGGUGGGAGCUCCCAAACAGCCUGCGGCCCCAAGCCGGCCCAGAUCUCACUCACACACACCCCCAGCCUUCUAGACGCACUAUUCCGUCAGCUCUCCUUGCCCCAGAUGCUACCUCUGUCCCCCAUGCUGGGGCUGAAGGACACCGGGCCCCUCUUCUCUCUUAUCCACUGCCCAGAGAGCUCAAGGGCUGUGAUUUAAAAAGCACCACCCCCUCCUCCCAGUCCCCCGGCAGCUGUCCACAAAGAGGGUGGCAGGGCUGGAAGGUGACAGAGACGGACGGCCACGUCCAUUCCUCCUCUUCCUCCCCCACCCUGUGCACAAAGCACACACACGCGCGCGCACACACCCCAAGCUAUAUCUGUCCCCUCCUGAGAUCACACAAGGACAAGGAGGGGAGGCGGGAGGGGAUCGGGGCCGUGGGAAAACACGCACAGAGACACGGUGGAGGUUGAGGAGGUCCCACUUGAGAUGCCAGGACAGAAGGGGGACUAAGGAAGAGGUGAUGGGGGUGGGGAGUGGAGAAUGAACAGAAAGACAAGGGAGGGGGCAGGAGGGUAAACCGGGUGGAGGAGAGGAGAGGAAGGGCGGGAGAGCGGAGGGGUGCCCCGAACAAGCAAGAGGAAGGGAAGAAGAGGGGCAAGUCAGGACACUAGUCCAAGGAGCAGGGGGAGGGUGGAGCCCCACAGGAGAGCCAGGAACACAUAGGCCUGGAACAGCCACGGCGGAACGCAUGAGCAGGCCAGGCUGUGGGGGGACCGCCCCCAAGAGUGAGGCAGAUGGGGGCUGGGGGGCAAGGGCGCUGAGGGAAGGAAGUCCGGGUGGGGGGAGAGGGGCACCUGCAGGACCAGGAGAAGCAGGUGCCACAGGGAAACAGCUGGAAGCCACAGGAGGGAUAACCCAUAAGGAACACACGUGGGUCUAGACUUGAUACACACAUGCGUGAGCAUGUGCGCUUCUGUCCGUGCAAGAAAGUACAUUAAAGGCGAAUGUCACCAAGUGGUAACAUUACAAGCAAUUUUCAUUUUCUACCGCAUGCUUUUCUGUUAUUCCUAACUUUCUUACAGCAACCACCUAUCUUCAUAACUAGAGAGAAAAUUCAGGGAGGAAAUUAAAUACACAUAUAGGUACAUACAUAUGCUUGUGGACACCCCACAUGCACUGCCCCACACCCUGUCCCUGCUCCCGCCUCUUGGCCUCGCCUGCCUAGAGCCCAUCUUUGGGACAGAGGACAGGCCAAGAGCUGGGACAGAGACGGCUCCGAGGUUUCCGGAGAAGAGGAGAUUGGAGGGGGGGGGGGCAAUGGCUGCUGCAUUUAGAGAUGACCAAUGAAGCAGGGGUUGGGAAAAGGGGGGUAAACUGGGGGCUGGGCGGUGGCCACCGGAGUCCUGAGGGGUUUGGAGCAUGUCCUCAAAGGCUGUGGGGCCUGCCAAGGGGUCGGAGGGCUAAGUACUCACCGUCCAGAGACAACCAGUCAAGCUGAGUACUAGGCAGUGACAGGAAUCGGCGGGCUCGAUACUCAAAGAGCACAGAGGCGGAAAGGGGCCCCUCCCGCCCCGCCACCUGCAAAGACACCAGCCCCACCUCAUGGGCUGGGGAGGGCAGGGUCAGCAAGAUGGGCUCUCUCCCUGGUUCCUUCUCUGGCCCCCACGUGAAGGCCACACAUGAUCAUUUCAUAGCCGGCUCCCCUCCACCCUUGCUUAAGUGGCCUUGGUCCUGAUGGGGAAGGGACUCCACUCUGUUCAUUCAGGAAUUUAAAACCUCCUAUGGGCCAGAGACACCUGGGACUGCAGACUCUGCAGGGAAGAUGCUUCUUAUUCAGCACCAAGGCCUGGAAGCUGAGGGUCAGGAGACACCUACGCUUACAAAGAAGUUUGAUCCCCCAAGGCACAUGUGGCUGAUGGCUACCAUACCGGACAGCCCAGAUCUAGAAGGCAAUGUCCUUCGGUCCAGGACAGGUUGGAGGAGACCAACGUGUCUCCCUUCUCAUGCUCCCUGGAUUGGAACCAGAGACUGACUCUAACCAAGCCAGAGGGCCUGGAUGGACACUGGAGACCCGUCAGGGCAAAUGCCUGCCCCCAAAGGAGGGGCGGCCACGGACCCAAGAAAGGAGCGGACCUGUCCGAGGCCACCAGUGAGCCGAGGACUAGAUUCCUCAGACCAGAGCCUAGACCUUCUGACACAUGAGCCUGGGGAACAUCUGCCCAUUGCGGGGACACAGGACUCAGGCUCAAGAUCCGACAGGGUCGUUCCCAGCACUUCCUGGAAGCUAACCGCCCAGGUGCUAUCCUGCCGUCCCCAGUCCCCGUGCCAUCCCUGGUCCCCAUACCAGGACAGUAGCAGCGCAAGACGCCAGGCUGGACGAGUGAGCCUGGCACCGCGAUGUGAUCAAAGACACAGGAGUAAUGCUCGGCGGCCUCAGUCCAGGGACCUGUGAUGAGCACCUUGACCCCACCCUGCAGAGAGAAGGCCGGGCGCCGUGUGACCGGAACCCUGUGGGGUGCUCACUCGUGCACCCAUUCAUCGAGGGCACUAGUGCUGCAGGGCGGGGCCCUGUGCUAGAUUCCGGGUACACGGACUGGGCGGGCUGCAGCGGGGCGAGGUCAGCUAGCCUGUCCCUCCUCCCGACGCUCCUGCCCAGAUCGGAGAACCCACUGCUUCCCUUGCCUGAGGCUCCCACGGUCCUUCCCCUCUGUGGGGCAGCUGAGAGUGACCGGGACUUCUCCACUGCUGAAGGCAGACUCUGCCAUCACACCCCGUCAUGUUCUCUCCAGGCCGGGCCGCCCUAGUGCCCUGCCUGUGACACAGUCACCGAGAAGACAAAGUUCCCCAGGCACCUGGGGGACCCACACCACGCCACCUGGCCCGCAGAGGGGGGAAGGCAGGAGGGAGGGCUAACUAGGGAGACAGCGAAAAUAGGGUGGGACAAGUGAGCGGUCACACAAACCAAGGGAAACCAAGUGGCGGCGUGGGUAGGAAAAAUAGGGGAGCGAGGCCUGAGGCUCACCUCCGGGUAGGACCACUCUGGGGAGAAGUCCGUGAUGCUGCUAAGAGCAGGAGAGAGCGGGGCGGCUGGGGCAGGGGCGCCUGGAGCCUCGUCGCUGAUGAGCUCUCCCAUGAGGUCAGGGAAUGACGUGAGACCGAAGGGCUCUAGUUCGCUGGCCCCAGCAGCUCCUCCAAACAAGGCCUCCCCUCUGCCUCCCCUGCCUGCUGGCUCCAAGGGGGCAGGUGAAGGUGGGGGCGAAGGAGGGGGUGAAGGUGCGGGUGGGGCAGCCCCCUGGGCCUUGAGCUCCUCCCCGCUACCGUCAUCUUGAAUAAAGAAACGGUUUCCUCUUC